CCUACGGGUGGCAGCAGUGAGGAAUAUUGGUCAAUGGACGCAAGUCUGAACCAGCGAUGCCGCGUGCAGGAAGACGGCUCUAUGAGUUGUAAACUGCUUUUGUACGAGGGAAAACGAAGAUACGCGUAUCUGACUGAAAGUAUCGUACGAAUAAGGAUCGGCCAACUCCGUGCCAGCAGCCGCGGUAAUACGGAGGAUUCAAGCGUUAUCCGGAUUUAUUGGGUUUAAGGGGUGCGUAGGCGGGCGGAUAAGUUAGAGGUGAAAUCCCGAGGCUCAACUUCGGAAUUGCCUCUGAUACUGUUCGGCUUGAGGGUAGUUGCGGUAGGCGGAAUGUAUGGUGUAGCGGUGAAAUGCUUAGAUAUCAUGCAGAACACCGAUUGCGAAGGCAGCUUACCGAGCUACUUCUGACGUUGAGGCACGAAAGCGUGGGGAGCAAACAGGAUUAGAUACCCGGGUAGUC
rnacentral:rRNA from 1 species